UACGGGGGGGGCAAGCGUUGUUCGGAAUUACUGGGCGUAAAGGGCUUGUAGGCGGCCAACUAAGUCAGACGUGAAAUCCCUCAGCUUAACUGGGGAACUGCGUCUGAUACUGGAUGGCUUGAGUUUGGGAGAGGGAUGCGGAAUUCCAGGUGUAGCGGUGAAAUGCGUAGAUAUCUGGAGGAACACCGGUGGCGAAGGCGGCAUCCUGGACCAGCACUGACACUGAGGAGCGAAAGCCAGGGGAGCAAACGGG
rnacentral:rRNA from 1 species